UACAGCCAUAGCACCCUGAAUGCGCCCAAUCUCCCCUGAUCUGGGAAGCUAAGCCGAUCGGGCCUGGUUAGUACUUGGAUGGGAGAUGGCUAAAAAUGGUUGAAA
rnacentral:rRNA from 1 species